rnacentral:rRNA from 1 species
AAUAGAUACCCAGGUAGUCCACGCCGUAAACGAUGAGUGCUAAGUGUUAGAGGGCUUCCACCCUUUAGUGCUGCAGCUAACGCAUUAAGCACUCCGCCUGGGGAGUACGGCCGCAAGGCUGAAACUCAAAGGAAUUGACGGGGGGCCCGCACAAGCGGUGGAGCAUGUGGUUUAAUUCGAAGCAACGCGAAGAACCUUACCAGGUCUUGACAUCCUUCGCUACCUCUAGAGAUAGAGGGUUCCCCUUCGGGGGACGGAGUGACAGGUGGUGCAUGGUUGUCGUCAGCUCGUGUCGUGAGAUGUUGGGUUAAGUCCCGCAACGAGCGCAACCCUUGACCUUAGUUGCCAGCAUUCAGUUGGGCACUCUAAGGUGACUGCCGGUGACAAACCGGAGGAAGGUGGGGAUGACGUCAAAUCAUCAUGCCCCUUAUGACCUGGGCUACACACGUGCUACAAUGGAUGGUACAAAGGGUCGCGAAACCGCGAGGUGGAGCCAAUCCCAAAAAACCAUUCUCAGUUCGGAUUGCAGGCUGCAACUCG